UCUCUCCUUCCUCCCUCCCCAGGGCUGAUGGCGGCCGUGCAGCUGGUGGAGUCCGGAGGGGGCCUCCAGACACCCGGGGGGUCCCUCACCCUCCGCUGCAAGGCCUCCGGCUUCACCUUCAGCAGCGUCGAGAUGGACUGGGUGCGACAGGCCCCCGGGAAGGGGCUGGAGUUCGUUGCACGUAUUGGCAACGAUGGUAGUUACACAAACUACGCGCCAUCGGUCAAGGGGCGCUUCACCAUCUCCAGGGACGACUCCCAGAGCACGGUCACGCUGCAGAUGAACAGCCUCCGGGACGACGACACAGCCACCUACUACUGCGUGAAAAUUGCUGAUGGUGAUGGUGCAAAUCUUGACCAUUUUAUCCCCAAAUCUCAAAUGAUUGGCACCAAACCUCAACCAUUUGUGGCCCCAAACCUCCACCCUUCUUGA